rnacentral:rRNA from 1 species
UACGUAGGGUGCAAGCGUUGUCCGGAAUUAUUGGGCGUAAAGCGUGUGUAGGCGGGUGCCUAAGUACCUUGUGAAAUCCCACGGCUCAACCGUGGAACUGCUGGGUAUACUGGGCGCCUUGAGCCACUUAGGGGCUACCGGAACAAAUGGUGGAGCGGUGAAAUGCGUAGAUAUCAUUUGGAACGCCAAUGGUGAAAACAGGUAGCUGGGAGUGUGCUGACGCUGAGACACGAAAGCCAGGGGAGCGAACGGG